UUGCCUAUGACGAACAUGUACCUACAGUUUUGCUCGAUAUAUUUUGUGGCAUUGAUUGUAGGCCUUAUCGUAGGCCCAAUAGCGAUGAGAAAGGGUUCUUCUAAUAAUUAGAAUUAAAUACCAAGACUUUAACCUACAUAGAACUGAAAUCUUGACAGAUCUCGGCAUGGUGUGUUAUUUUUGUGACCGGCAAAGCUUACCUAAUUGAUUGAAAAUUUCUGCAAAAAUACCUUUGGCUACACUCAAUCUGUUUCUUAAUAUAUUAUCAAAGCUAGUAACAUCUGGUGUUCAGAACAUGGAUCUAAGCUGGAUUUAUCUUGUGGCAUUGAUGUUGAUAAGCCCCUAUAUGUCACAGUCCGUAUGGAGAGAUCAAUUGCAAACUUAGUAUCUCUAGGCUAUAUUACUAAUGGGUAUUUUUAAUAAAUACAGUGCCAGCUAAUCGUUUAUGCGUUCAUUCCCCCAAAAGAAGCGAUUAUUAAAUAUUUUGUAGAAAAGUGCAUUAGAUGAUAAGCCAUAAUAGCAGAGCCACCAAUUCCGUAAUUUACAGUAUGAAUUUCCACUGAAUUUCUAUCUGAAAGUAUCUUUAUAAAAUUUAUGAUUAUGAUUAACACAAAUCACAAAUGAAUUAUGAAAAAAUGCCAACUAAUUUCAUAAUACAAUAAUUUCACGAGCUGCA